UAAAUUCAUUUUAAAGUAUAAAUUCCUGAAACUGAGUCAGAUUGACAGUGGUUUUAGAUCCCUGACACAUUAAAUUGGUCUGGAGGGCCAAAAAAGUUGAUGUCCUCAGAGAUUGCCCUUAGAAGACUUUAAGUAUGGCCAUCUUACUGUAUUUUCUAAUUAUUGUUUUGUUGUUUGAUGUGGCCAAAGAAUUCUUCACCAAGUGGCCAGCACUGAUGAUGAGCUUAUCUCUAGUGUCCUUGGAAAGCAGACCUAGUAAGUUUCCAGGGCCAUGCUCGAAGCAUGGAAGAAGCUGCCAGAGCUUCUUUGGCAUCCGUUUUCUGCUUUUGAGAAUCCACAAUCAUCUUUGCAUCCCAACUGAAGAGUCAGAGUAAGACUUGACGGAUACAGCUGCUGAAGAAUUAAAGUGGCUGUUUACAGGAUUCGGAGAGGUGCAUGGUGGAUGUUGGGACUUUCACUGUUUGCGAUGGUGUGUGAAUAAGACUUAGGGUGAAUGCUGCUGUCUUUGGUAGAGAUGAUGGAAGACAAAUAAGUUGUUCCAUACCUAAUGUUAAAGCACAGAGUACCAUGUUGGAGCUGUAUAUCUGCAAAGCGUCUUGUCCUUCCAUUCAUCACAGAAGUCAUCUGGGACACGGUAACAUUGACACCGUUCUCUAAAAUCCGCCUCCCUCCUGUGUUACCUAUGAGAGCCAAGUCUUCCUCCAGAGAUCCAAGUUUAAUGAAGUAGUGAGUAUCCCGUCCGUCAAUGGUGAAGUGCAGGUUUUCCAGGUAAUGAGCACCAUUGAGGAUGGCGGCAAGUCGGCGGCUGUCUU